AGGAACAAAAUAAAUAUAAAAAAUUCCAAUUGGUGGAGUCUGAUCAGUCACUUUCUGCCAAUUCAAAUUCUGGUCCAGAACUACAACAAAACAGCACAUCUUGCUUCUACGUGUUCUUUUAACCAUCAGUUUGGCAUCUCAAUUUCAUCUUCUGUGACUAUUUUUCUGCUCAAACAAUGAGAGGUCACCUCAAGGACAGUGAAAACUUCUUUGGGCCUGUGCUCUAAAACACAAAUGUAAAUUCAUUUAAAAAAAUGUUUUUUCCCUCAUUGAAAAUGAGUACAGGAGUUACCCAUUUUGGGGAGGUAGAAUCAAAUGAGGAUUCUUACUUUGCUCCUAGGAAUUUAAAGUAGUCAGAGUAACACUGGAUCUAGAGGUCCCUUGACUUGGGAUAAAAAUAGAGCCCUACUAAACACUGGAGACUAAUGAUGACCACAACAGAAGAGACACUAAGGAAAUUUAUACACAUACAACAAAAGGAGGAUAAUCUGAAGUAGUCAGAGUGACCUUGGACCUAGAGGAUCCAUGACUUGGGAUGAAAAUAGAGCCCCCACUAAACACUGGACACUAAUGCCGAUGACCACAGAAGAGACACUAAGGAAAUUCAACCCCACAGAACAAAGGGGUGACUUGCAUUAAAGAGAAAAGAAGACAUAUGGAAG